CGAGGCAAUUGCGCGCUUCGGCGUGAGGAAAGUCCGAGCAGCACAGAGCAGGAUAACGGCUAACAGCCGCCGAGGGUGACCUUAGGGAAAGUGCAACAGAAAUAAACCGCCUCUUUUGAGGUAAGGGUGGAAAGGCGAGGUAAGAGCUCACCGAGGAGAUGGAGACACCUCCUGCCAUGUAAACCCUAUCCGCUGCAACAUCGACUAAAGGGUUGUUUGCUCGACACAUAACUUUGAAGGAUGGCUUCAGCACAGGAGCAAUUCUGUGCGCAGAUAGAUAAUUGCCCAAUACAGAACUCGGCUUAUUGGCA
rnacentral:RNase_P_RNA from 1 species